GUGAAUCAUCGAAUCUUUGAACGCAAAUUGCACUCUCUUCGGAGAGUAUGCCUGUUUGAGGGUCAGUAUUAAUAAAAAUCGGUGUGUUGCUUCUUUGUGGCGCUCCGGAGUUUGGGUCAUCUUAAUAUCCUUUAGGUUUUAAGAGGCUUAAAAUUGACUUUUUUUGCGCAUUUUAGAUGUACAUAAAUUCUUUUUUUUAUUGGUUGUUUUUAUUGUCCAAAUUCUAUUUGAUUGUGACAU
rnacentral:misc_RNA from 1 species